rnacentral:tRNA from 1 species
AAUAAAAUUAUAUAAUAUUUUAAUAUAUUAUUAUUAAAUUUAAUAAUUUUGAUGAUUUCAAUAUAUUUAGAUAUUAUUUAUUAUUGAUUUAGAUUUUAAAUAAUUGUUAUAUUUUUUAUAUUUAAAAGUAUUAAAGUUUUUGUAAUUAUUUAGAAAUUUUUUAAGUAUAUUAUUAAAACAAGUAUUUAUAUUAUAUUAAGUAGUACAUUUAAAGGUAUAAAUAGUAAUAAAUUUGAUAUUAUUUUUGUUU